UGCGUAGGGGCCAAGCGUUGUCCGGAUUUAUUGGGCGUAAAGAGCUCGUAGGCGGUUGGGUAAGUCGGGUGUGAAAACUCCAGGCUCAACUUGGAGAGGCCACCCGAUAUUGCUCUGACUUGAGUUCGGUAGGGGAGUGGGGAAUUCCUGGUGUAGCGGUGAAAUGCGCAGAUAUCAGGAGGAACACCGAUGGCGAAGGCAGCUCGCUGGGACGUGACUGACGCUGAGACGCGAAAGCGUGGGGAGCAAACAGG
rnacentral:rRNA from 1 species